rnacentral:rRNA from 1 species
CGACGAUACGCGAAGAACCUUACCUGGUCUUGACAUAGAAAGAACUUUCCAGAGAUGGAUUGGUGCCUGCUUGCAGGAGCUNUCAUACAGGUGCUGCACGGCUGUCGUCAGCUCGUGUCGUGAGAUGUUGGGUUAAGUCCCGCAACGAGCGCAACCCUCGUCGUUAGUUGCUAACAGUUCGGCUGAGAACUCUAACGAGACUGCCUACGCAAGUAGGAGGAAGGUGAGGACGACGUCAAGUCAUCAUGGCCCUUACGACCAGGGCUACACACGUGCUACAAUGGGGUAUACAAAGAGCAGCAAUACGGUGACGUGGAGCGAAUCUCAAAAAUGCCUCCCAGUUCGGAUUGUAGUCUGCAACUCGACUACAUGAAGUUGGAAUCGCUAGUAAUCGUAGAUCAGCUAUGCUACGGCGAAUACGU